rnacentral:rRNA from 1 species
GACGAACGCUGGCGGCGUGCUUAACACAUGCAAGUCGAACGGAGUGGCGAACGGGUGAGUAACACGUGGGUGAUCUGCCUUGCACUUCGGGAUAAGCUUGGGAAACUGGGUCUAAUACCGGAUAGUGCAAAAGCAGCUCGCGGCCUAUCAGCUUGUUGGUGGGUUACUGGCCUACCAAGUCGUCGACGGGUAGCCGGCCUGAGAGGGUGUACGGUGACAUUGGGACUGCGAGACGGCGCAGACUCUUACGGGAGGCAGAAGUGGGGAAUAUUGCACAAUGGGCGGAAGACUGAUGAAGAGACGCCGGGUGGGGGAUGAAGGCUUUCUGGUUGUAAACUCCUUUUGACAGGGACGCGGUACCUGUAUAAGAAGCACCGGCUAACUACGUGCCAGCCGCCGCGGUAAUUC